ACCUGGGUGGCUCAGUCGGUUGAGCAUCUGACUUGGGCUCAGGCCAUGAUCUCAGGGUUUGUGGGUUCGAGUCCCGCAUCGGGUU
rfam:Felis catus isolate Cinnamon breed Abyssinian chromosome A1, whole genome shotgun sequence.